GCAGUGGGGAAUAUUGGACAAUGGGGGCAACCCUGAUCCAGCCAUGCCGCGUGUGUGAAGAAGGCCUUCGGGUUGUAAAGCACUUUCAGCAGUGAGGAAAGGCGAGUGGUUAAUACCCGCUUGCUGUGACGUUAACUGCAGAAGAAGCACCGGCUAACUCCGUGCCAGCAGCCGCGGUAAUACGGAGGGUGCAAGCGUUAAUCGGAAUUACUGGGCGUAAAGCGCGCGUAGGUGGUUCAGUCAGUCAGAUGUGAAAGCCCCGGGCUCAACCUGGGAAUUGCACCUGAUACUGCUGAGCUAGAGUACGGUAGAGGGUAGUGGAAUUUCCGGUGUAGCGGUGAAAUGCGUAGAGAUGGAAGGAACACCAGUGGCGAAGGCGACUACCUGGACCGAUACUGACACUGAGGUGCGAAAAGCGUGGGUAGCAAAACAGGAUUAGAUAACCCUGGUAGUCCAACGCCGUAAAACGAUGUCAACCUAGCCCGUUGGGGAGCUCGCUCCCUUAGUGGCGCAG
rnacentral:rRNA from 1 species